rnacentral:rRNA from 1 species
AGCAGCCGCGGUAAUUCCAGCUCUAAUAGCGUAUAUUAAAGUUGUUGCAGUUAAAAAGCUCGUAGUUGAAUUUCGGGACCAAUCUGCCGGUCGUGCCUCCGGUAUGCACUGGUUUUAUUGGUUUCUCCCUUCUGACGAAUCAUGAUGUCAUUAAUUUGGUGUCAUGGGGAAUCAGGACUGUUACUUUGAAAAAAUUAGAGUGUUUAAAGCAGGCUCACGCUUGAAUACAUUAGCAUGGAAUAAUGAAAUAGGACGUUUGACCCUAUUUUGUUGGUUUCUAGGAUCGACGUAAUGAUUAAUAGGGAUAGUUGGGGGCAUUAGUAUUCAAUUGUCAGAGGUGAAAUUCUUGGAUUUAUUGAAGACUAACUACUGCGAAAGCAUUUGCCAAGGAUGUUUUCAUUAAUCAAGGACGAAAGUUAGGGGAUCGAAGACGAUCAGAUACCGUCGUAGUCUUAACCAUAAACUAUGCCGACUAGGGAUCGGAUGAUGUUAAUUUUUUAAUGACUCAUUCGGCGCCUUA